rnacentral:lncRNA from 1 species
GUAAAAUAAUUUGUUGUUAUUUUUUUCAUUUUUGUCACCAUUUAAUGUUCAAUGAAUCGGCUCAAAAAUAGCGCACACGCGAAGAAUAUCAAGGUUGAUGACAAGACCGAAAAAGUCGUUAUAUUAAUACCCGCUGCUACGAUAGUAAUUGGUAUUCGUCUGAAGCUAGGUUUUGGUUUUGAAUUCAGGUGUGCCAAGCCAAGGAAGAUAUUUUCUUUGAUUUUGAUUAUUGAAAUAGGAAUUUUUUUCAAAAAUUUACUUUUAUAAUGCCUUAUCUUAGAUUAACCCAAGAUAAAACACAAAUAAGAGCUGUGGCAGAAUUUUAAUUAUUGAAUAAAUGAAAUAUUUUAAAUGAAUUUU